UGUGCACACCCUUGGCCUCAAGAGGCCAGAGCAGAGGGAAGGUUCUGGACUGGGAAGUCAGAAAUCUCUCUGCUGGACACUCACUCACUCCCAGUGACCUUGGGCAAGCUCUAGCCCCUCAGUUUACUCAUCUGUAAAAUGGAAAAGAGCUUCAGGAAUUUUGAAAUCGCAGGUAUCAUAUGGCCCACAAGCUUGUCCUGGUGUUUUUGUUUUUGUUCUCCAAAAGAAAUAAUUUUUAAUAUCUAAUCUCUCUAAAGUAAGGUCAGGGGGAGUCAGAAAGAGGAUCUGUCUAAAAAAGCAUUUUCCUCCAGGCUUCAGCAUAGCUAACGCUCCUGGGGGCUUACUGUGCCCCAGACCUCCUGAGAAGUCAGCAUGGAACUGCUCACUAAGCAUGAAUUGGGGAAUAAUUCGCCACCAUUAUUUUGUGGACCCUCAGAACAAGGAAGCUUGGUUCUUCUCCUUCUGCCCAUUUUGUAGGGGAGGAAACCAUGGAAACUCAGAGUGCUCCUCUGACAUUUGCCGAAGGAUAUAUGGACAAUAAAGAGCAGAGCUGAUAUCAGAGCUCAAGCUUGCAAAUGUGUAUGCGGGCCGCCAUGCCAUGUCUGCCACCUCUCUCAUGGUACUGUUGGGGGACAGGAGGGCCAUUGGAGGCAGCGGGCUUUGCCCUACUACCCAUGGCACAUAGAUUUUAAAUAAGAGCUUUGAUCUGGAAGCAGCAUGGGGUAUGUAUUGCCUCAACUCAGCUUGACAUGGGGUCUUCUAUCCAACAAAUGACGCCAACCCUCACCAGGCCUGAAGACCUUGCCUGGAGAAGAAGCAGUGGCGUGAAGUCAAAGAGGUGCAUUCACCUGCCAGCUUUGCCUCUGCCUGCGUUCUGUACCUGAGCCUCAGGAAUCACAUUUUCGUCUUGGUUUUGCUACAAAAAUUUAGAAGCAGCAGCAUGUGUGAAAACCCUAGCUCAGACUGUCAGACUGGGCACUGGAGAGACACCAGCAGCCACGAUCCACUGAGUUUGCUUUAGGGCAGGCAGUGGGACAGGUAUGCUAACGCAUCCCCAAAUCCUGACAGCCACCCAGAGGUAGCUCCUGUUAUUGUGGCUGCCCUGAAGUUUAACAUGGGGAGAAAUACCAGAUAUAGGUGAUGGGGGGAUGGAGGCAGCAAACCUCCUUGCCAUGUAUGUACCUAUGCAACAAUCCUGCAUGAUCUGCACAUGUACCCCAGAACCUAAAGUACGAUUAAAAAAAAAAAGAAAACUGAAGUUCUGAACAAUGUAGGAACUGCACUGAGUGGAUUUUCCACCCAGGUGAGUCGUUUAGGUCAUGACACAGCACCGCCCAUACAUGUGGGGUGUUUACAUGAGAAUUCAGAAGCGCAGAUUCAGGGGCAGGCAUUGCCUGCAUGCAUGUCCUUUACCCCGGGCUGUCUGCCCCUGGGCUGUUUGUAAUGUCAUUGGGG
rnacentral:lncRNA from 1 species